UACGGGGGGGGCAAGCGUUGUUCGGAAUUAUUGGGCGUAAAGGGCGCGUAGGCGGUUUGACAAGUCUUAUGUGAAAUCUCUGGGCUCAACCCAGAGUCUGCAUGGGAAACUGUCGGGCUUGAGUAUGGGAGAGGUGAGUGGAAUUUCCGGUGUAGCGGUGAAAUGCGUAGAUAUCGGAAGGAACACCUGUGGCGAAAGCGGCUCACUGGACCAUAACUGACGCUGAGGCGCGAAAGCUAGGGGAGCAAACAGG
rnacentral:rRNA from 1 species